AAAGCUUUUGUGAUCUGCAGUUGUGAUGUCAAACAAAUUGCAUAGUCACAAAAGUGAUG
rnacentral:pre_miRNA from 1 species